rnacentral:rRNA from 1 species
GACGAACGCUGGCGGCGUGCUUAACACAUGCAAGUCGAACGGAAAGGCCCUGCUUUUGUGGGGUGCUCGAGUGGCGAACGGGUGAGUAACACGUGAGUAACCUGCCCUUGACUUUGGGAUAACUUCAGGAAACUGGGGCUAAUACCGGAUAGGAGCUCCUGCUGCAUGGUGGGGGUUGGAAAGUUUCGGCGGGUGGGGAUGGACUCGCGGCUUAUCAGCUUGUUGGUGGGGUAGUGGCUUACCAAGGCUUUGACGGGUAGCCGGCCUGAGAGGGUGACCGGCCACAUUGGGACUGAGAUACGGCCCAGACUCCUACGGUAGGCAGCAGUGGCGAAUAUUGCACAAUGGGCGGAAGCCUGAUGCAGCAACGCCGCGUGCGGGAUGACGGCCUUCGGGUUGUAAACCGCUUUCGCCUGUGACGAAGCGUGAGUGACGGUAAUGGGUAAAGAAGCACCGGCUAACUACGUG